rnacentral:rRNA from 1 species
AGUGAACGCUGGCGGUAGGCCUAACACAUGCAAGUCGAACGGCAGCACAGUAAGAGCUUGCUCUUACGGGUGGCGAGUGGCGGACGGGUGAGGAAUACAUCGGAAUCUACUUUUUCGUGGGGGAUAACGUAGGGAAACUUACGCUAAUACCGCAUACGACCUACGGGUGAAAGCAGGGGAUCUUCGGACCUUGCGCGAUCGAAUGAGCCGAUGUCGGAUUAGCUAGUUGGCGGGGUAAAGGCCCACCAAGGCGACGAUCCGUAGCUGAUCUGAGAGGAUGAUCAGCCACACUGGAACUGAGACACGGUCCAGACUCCUACGGGAGGCAGCAGUGGGGAAUAUUGGACAAUGGGCGCAAGCCUGAUCCAGCCAUACCGCGUGGGUGAAGAAGGCCUUCGGGUUGUAAAGCCCUUUUGUUGGGAAAGAAAAGCAGCAGGUUAAUACCCCGCUGUUCUGACGGUACCCAAAGAAUAAGCACCGGCUAACUUCGUG